GCAAAUGUUUGUUGAAAUAAGUGGAGAUUUCCUGGUUUUCUUUUUUGGAGGAAAAAAAAAAGGAAAGAAACAAAGUUUCUUUAUAGGAUGGGCUCAGGGUGUUUUGCAAUUACCCUUACUUGUGCUUGAGCUCCUUUUUCCCCUUGUUGAGUAGGAACAGACAAUGUUUUCCAUUCCAGUUUCUUCUUACAGUUGCAGAGUGGGUGCCGAUGGGCUCAGUGUUGUGGCUUUUACUGGUCAGCCAAAUAUCACAGCUAGAAUGGAUGGUGGAAAGCAUUAUGGACAACACCCGUGACUUGUCACAUGGACAUUUGCUUUUCACACCAUUAGGAGAGGUGUAGACUGACCAGGAGAAGAGAGAGAUCGUUUGGUCAGCUCCUUGGUCAGUGCUGUAAUAUGAGCACAUCAAGUUACAUCUGUCAGUAUUUCCUGCGGGCGCAGCAGAGAACGGGAACAGUACAAUUCAUCAGCUUCAGUAAAUAUACCUUCCACAUGUAAUUGUCAAGGGGGAAAAACACUGUUGUGAUUAUUUAGUUUACAUUUCCUUUAGGAUUACGGUGUCACCUCAGAACGCUACAGUGUUUUCAUUUUUAAAAAGGAGGCUGUGUGUAUAUUUUUCCUUUUGUAAUUUUCAUUAUUUUUUUUAGCUUCUUUGUUAACUUUAAAAGCUUGACCCGUGAUUAUAACAACUCUGCCAACACAUCAACUCAUCAGUAAAUAGUGUUCUGCCAGGUUCAAGCUUUCUCUGUAUGUUUGUCUGAUCUCUUUAUGUAUAUGUGAGUUUCCUCAGAUCACCCACCACAGCAAGGACAUUCAUGUUGGUUUGAGACUACUCUUACUGUGGCCUUCAACACACAAAUUAAAAAAAAAAAAAAAUCGUGGAUGUUUUCUUUUAACUGUACACAGCCCUGCAGCUUCAGCAACAUAUGGUAUUUCUAUGCAUUUACCAUCAAGCUAGCAGUGAGCAUGUUUUUAUUCCUGUGCAAAGCAUCUGGGUUAAUCUCAUAUUAGUCAAGAAGGAUCAUUCUCACAAACAGUCUUAGACUUGUUUCACAGAACUAUGCUCUAAAUUAAAUACAUGGCGUCAGUGGAUUAGUGUGUAUCGCUUUGGAAAUCCAGUAAUAAGAAGAAGCUAAAAAUUAAUUUCUGUUUCUUUUUAAAUAUUAAUAUGCUUGAAAAAAAAACCCACUGGGAAGCAGAUUGAAUUCCUAGAAUUCAGGGUUUUUACGAUUGCGUGCAGAAUAUUUGAUUAACCACUAUGACAGCCUUUACAGUUUAUUGUCAUACAGUUUGUCUAUAAUUAAUUAGAUAUCUAAUCAGGACCCAAUUCAAAUUUUCCAGUGGAAAGUUAUUAAGUUAUUAAGCUUAACAUUUUGAUUUUACUCUGACUUUGUGCUCUAAAAGUUUUGCAUCACGCAUCUUGUCUCCUGCUAUUUAUUGUCUAUAUAUAGUGUACUUCAUGUGUUAAUGUUAUUUGGCGUGUCCUGUGGUUUGCAUUAUUCCGCUAGACAUUCCUCCCCCAAUCACAGGCGGCGCAUCCCGUAGUUGCUCUGUUUUACUUUCAUACUGAAAUGUAUUUAUUUGAAGAGGAGCAGCAGGUCGCAGGGACAUCUGUUGCGCUAAUGUCCAACAGAGUAAACAAUAUGUUUUGAAUUACUGUAAGAUUUGACCUUAGAAUAAGCCUUAUCUUAUGUAUAAAUCAUAGUGAGUUCAAUAUGCUUUGUAAGUAGAUUAGUUCAUCUGGAGUCCCCCCCUCCUUCCCCAUAGACAGUCUCUCCACCAUGAGGGCCUAGAGAUGUAAUCCAGAUUCAUAAUCCAAUGAUUCUUACAAGCUGUUUUGUGUUGUUAAAUACUGGGUGUUUGUGUUGAUUUAAUAUCAUUCUAAUCUCCUUUAAACUGCCAGUUGCUGUCUGGUUCAUAGCCAUCUUGUUUAUUGCUUGC